rnacentral:rRNA from 1 species
GUUGUAUGGUUAAGUGACUAAGCGUACACGGUGGAUGCCUUGGCAGUCAGAGGCGAUGAAAGACGUAGUAACUUGCGAUAAGCCCAGAUUAGGUAGUAACAACCAUUUGAGUCUGGGAUUUCUGAAUGGGGAAACCCACGUGCAUAAGCACGUAUCCUUACCUGAAUACAUAGGGUAAGGAGGCGAACCGGGGGAACUGAAACAUCUAAGUACCCCGAGGAAAAGAAAUCAACCGAGAUUCCGAAAGUAGCGGCGAGCGAAAUUGGACUAGCCCUUAAGCUUUACACGCGUUAGACGAACGGUCUGGAAAGUCCGACGAUACAGGGUGAUAGUCCCGUAGUUGACGACGUGUGUUCAGUGAAAUCGAGUAGGGCGGGACACGUGAUAUCCUGUCUGAAUAUGGGGGGACCAUCCUCCAAGGCUAAAUACUACUGACUGACCGAUAGUGAACCAGUACCGUGAGGGAAAGGCGAAAAGAACCCCUGUGAGGGGAGUGAAAUAGAACCUGAAACCGUGUACGUACAAGCAGUAGGAGCAGGCUUUGUCCUGUGACUGCGUACCUUUUGUAUAAUGGGUCAGCGACUUAUAUUCAGUGGCAAGGUUAACCAUCUAGGGGAGCCGUAGGGAAACCGAGUCUUAACUGGGCGUUCAGUCUCUGGAUAUAGACCCGAAACCAGGUGAUCUAGCCAUGGGCAGGUUGAAGGUUGAGUAACAUCAACUGGAGGACCGAACCGACUAAUGUUGAAAAAUUAGCGGAUGACUUGUGGCUAGGGGUGAAAGGCCAAUCAAACCUGGAGAUAGCUGGUUCUCCCCGAAAGCUAUUUAGGUAGCGCCUCGGACGAAUACUACUGGGGGUAGAGCACUGUUAAGGCUAGGGGGUCAUCCCGACUUACCAACCCUUUGCAAACUCCGAAUACCAGUAAGUACUAUCCGGGAGACACACGGCGGGUGCUAACGUCCGUCGUGGAGAGGGAAACAACCCAGACCGCCAGCUAAGGUCCCAAAUUACUACUAAGUGGGAAACGAUGUGGGAAGGCUCAGACAGCCAGGAUGUUGGCUUAGAAGCAGCCAUCAUUUAAAGAAAGCGUAAUAGCUCACUGGUCGAGUCGGCCUGCGCGGAAGAUGUAACGGGGCUAAGUAGUAAACCGAAGCUGCGGCAAUGUGCUUUUGCACAUUGGGUAGGGGAGCGUUCUGUAAGCGGUUGAAGGUGUGUGGUAACGCAUGCUGGACGUAUCAGAAGUGCGAAUGCUGACAUGAGUAACGAUAAAGGGGGUGAAAAACCUCCUCGCCGGAAGACCAAGGGUUCCUGUCCAACGUUAAUCGGGGCAGGGUAAGUCGACCCCUAAGGCGAGGCCGAAAGGCGUAGUCGAUGGGAAACGGGUUAAUAUUCCCGUACUUCUUACAAUUGCGAUGGGGGACGGAGAAGGCUAGGUGGGCCUGGCGACGGUUGUCCAGGUUCAAGUGCGUAGGCUUGAGAGUUAGGUAAAUCCGGCUCUUUUUAAGGCUGAGACACGACGUCGAGCACCUACGGGUGUGAAGUCAUUGAUGCCAUGCUUCCAGGAAAAGCCUCUAAGCUUCAGAUUGUAAGGAAUCGUACCCCAAACCGACACAGGUGGUCGGGUAGAGAAUACCAAGGCGCUUGAGAGAACUCGGGUGAAGGAACUAGGCAAAAUGGUACCGUAACUUCGGGAGAAGGUACGCUCUCGACGGUGAAGUCCCUCGCGGAUGGAGCUAUUGAGAGUCGCAGAUACCAGGUGGCUGCAACUGUUUAUUAAAAACACAGCACUGUGCAAAAUCGUAAGAUGACGUAUACGGUGUGACGCCUGCCCGGUGCCGGAAGGUUAAUUGAUGGGGUUAGACUUCGGUCGAAGCUCUUGAUCGAAGCCCCGGUAAACGGCGGCCGUAACUAUAACGGUCCUAAGGUAGCGAAAUUCCUUGUCGGGUAAGUUCCGACCUGCACGAAUGGCGUAAUGAUGGCCACGCUGUCUCCACCCGAGACUCAGUGAAAUUGAAAUCGCUGUGAAGAUGCAGUGUACCCGCGGCUAGACGGAAAGACCCCGUGAACCUUUACUACAGCUUGGCACUGAACAUUGACCCUACAUGUGUAGGAUAGGUGGGAGGCUUUGAAGCACGUACGCCAGUAUGUGUGGAGCCGUCCUUGAAAUACCACCCUUGUAGUGUUGAUGUUCUAACGUCGACCCCUUAUCGGGGUUGCGGACAGUGCCUGGUGGGUAGUUUGACUGGGGCGGUCUCCUCCCAAAGAGUAACGGAGGAGCACGAAGGUGGGCUAAUCACGGUUGGACAUCGUGAGGUUAGUGCAAUGGCAUAAGCCCGCUUGACUGCGAGAAUGACAAUUCGAGCAGGUGCGAAAGCAGGUCAUAGUGAUCCGGUGGUUCUGAAUGGAAGGGCCAUCGCUCAACGGAUAAAAGGUACUCCGGGGAUAACAGGCUGAUACCGCCCAAGAGUUCAUAUCGACGGCGGUGUUUGGCACCUCGAUGUCGGCUCAUCACAUCCUGGGGCUGAAGUCGGUCCCAAGGGUAUGGCUGUUCGCCAUUUAAAGUGGUACGCGAGCUGGGUUUAGAACGUCGUGAGACAGUUCGGUCCCUAUCUGCCGUGGGCGUUGGAAGAUUGAAGGGGGCUGCUCCUAGUACGAGAGGACCGGAGUGGACGAACCUCUGGUGUUCGGGUUGUGUCGCCAGACGCAUUGCCCGGUAGCUAAGUUCGGAAUCGAUAACCGCUGAAAGCAUCUAAGCGGGAAGCGAGCCCUGAGAUGAGUCUUCCCUGAUACUUUAAGUAUCCUAAAGGGUUGUCGGAGACUACGACGUUGAUAGGUCAGGUGUGUAAGUGCUGUGAGGCAUUGAGCUAACUGAUACUAAUUGCCCGUGAGGCUUAACCAUACAACACCUAAGGGGUUU